rnacentral:rRNA from 1 species
GACGGAGGAUGCAAGUGUUAUCCGGAAUCACUGGGCGUAAAGCGUCUGUAGGUGGUUCGAAAAGUCCACUGUUAAAGAUUGAGGCUUAACUUCAAAAUGCCGUGGAAACUUUCAAACUAGAGUAUGGUAGGGGUAGAGGGAAUUUCCAGUGGAGACGGUUGAAAUGACGUAGAUAUUGGAAAGACCACCGAUGGCGAAGG